CAGGACUGGCUAAAAACAAAAUAAGAUAAAUAAAAAUCUGAAGACUAUAAAGUUUAAAUAUCAUUUCCAUUUAAAUCCAAUAAAACAAAAUAUUACAGCAAUUUAUACUUGGCAAGGGAAAUAAUCCACAAAUAUGGUUGAAAUUACAACACAAAGCCCACUUUAUGUGGAAAGGUCAUUAGCCUGCAAGUAGGUUGGCUAUCCUUGCACACUGGCUGUAUAAAGAGGUAAACCUGACUUGGUAGAAUAAAUGGAAUGAAGGCUAUGGCAGAAACUUUGGUUCAUACUGCAUGACAGUUAAGAAGGCAGCCUCUGGAGUAAAACUUUCUGGGUUACAAGACAGGUUAUACUAAUUCCCAGGGAUGUGGCCCUGCUAGCCCCAAGUAUUUUCAUCUGCAAAAUAGGGACAAUAAAUACUUAGUACCCCAAGCUCUGCUAUAAGGAUUAGGUAAGAUUGUGUCUGUUGAGUGCUCAACAUGAUGCUUGGCAUGAAGCUAAGGGCUCCUUCUUUUCAACAUGAAGACAGGGCACAGAAUAGGCGCUCUAAAAACCCAUAAUCACAUCUAGUCUUCCCAAAUCUCCUGCAGAUUCAUACUGACGUUGGCAUGCACUGUCACUCUGAAAGUGUUCAAAUGAACAAUGUUCCAGUAAGCAGCAACUAUUUCACUCCCAAUGCUAAAACUUGUUUCCUUUGAGUAGUUUUCAAGAAAAAGCAAAGAUUAGGAGCAAGUAGCGAUCCCUACCCUGAAACACAUUACUAGGGUGGAAAUCGAGGCUCUUCUGAAGAGCUUACUUCAAGUUAUCACUUUGGGGCCUUUGUUAGAGAUCUUUUUUCAGAUAUUUUUGCACAAAGAAGUCUUUGUUGGCACAAUGGCUCCCCACUGGUUGUUUCCAGACAAUCUUUUCACACCAAUACUUCUAUUGGAAAGUACAAUCCGAAUUUAUUCCUCUCUCAAAAGAUCUAACUGAAAAGGUUCUGGAGUGCACCUCGGAUUUUAAAAAUCCCUGGUGGCACUUGUUCCUUUUCUCUCCUCUACAUACUAAGUACACUAUUUCAAAGCUAUCCCUCCAAUACAACAAAUACGGGACAGCUCCACCCUGGCCCUCCAUAUAUGGUCAUACCCCUCCAAUCCAUCUAUAGCCAACCAACCACCCACUCCAGCUCUAACCCACCCUCAAAGGCCGAACUAAACUUACCUCCUCCCUCUCCGCUCUAUUUUUAAUAAGUCAAAAAGUUAGAAGAAGAAGAAAAAAAAAGUUUGGUAAAGAAAGUAAGGAAAAACCAAUCCGAAAAAUAUCAUCUCUGAAAACACCUCCAGUCCCUAGUCUUCGAUUCUUCACGAUUCCAAAUGUCACCCACCUGUCCAACCUACUACUAAUAACAAUAGCCCUCCCUUUGGGGAAAUAAUCAGUCCCAGUAGGGCCCAGCGCUGGCAUUAAUGAAGCGUGUCUGAACAACCCUGAGCCCAUUAUUAAAUGCAGGCAGCCAAGAGCUCUGGGCCAAACACACCUCGGCUCUACACAACCAUUUCAAAGACUUUCAAGGUCUAGUUUUGUGCACCUUCAGAUCAGAUGCCAACUUUCUGAUCGCCGUUUAAGAAAAAAAAAAAAGAGAGAGAGGGAAAGAGAAAGAGGGAGGGGGGCCGAUCGUCGCGUUACCAAGGUAACUGCGAAAUGUCCGGCUGCCAAGGCCC